rnacentral:lncRNA from 1 species
AAAAUCCUGGGGAAAAGAUUGCCAGAUUUUUUUAUUGUGUAACAGGAGUAUUAAAAUGUUAAACAUGUUUACAUGGGAGAAAUUGAUUCAGAGAGAGGAGAGACAUCCCUUAGCUUUUAAAUGUGCCUGAAUAACAGUCAGGCAUGUCCAGCAUUCUCUAGCAUUUUCCUAAAGGAAACAAGAGCCCAGAAGACCCUCCAAGAAAUAAGAAAAUAGGAUGAAUUGGGAAGUCCACUGACUGCCUUCAGUGCUGCCUUUGGCUUGAUUUUGUAAUUUUACAUCUUUGUCCUUACACCGGAGUCUGAUCCAGGAAACCAGGGAGUACUUCAGGCUCUUCCAUUGAAAUGCUUGAGGCUGAAAGUUAGCUGAAUGCAAAAAGAAUCAAGAAACAGAGAAACAUUCCAUGGUCCUUAAAACCCAAAGGAGUGAUUCCUUCAGUGCUGCCACACCAGUGGAGAUUGCAGCAGGGUCUCCUUCCACACCAGUGGCUACACUGGAGCAGAUUCUCUGGCUCUGGUUCCUGUCCCUGGGAGUUGUCCUGGAUAGAUGGCUGUGAGGAGGUGGGAAGAAAUGCACAGCAGUCCUGUGUUCACUCACUUGGCUGCCAAACAUGCACAUUUCACUGCUUUCUUGAGAGCACUUUCCUGCUGUGGAAAUGUGAUAUGCCUGACUAGGUAGGCCAACAGCUGUGUGAUUGUCCAUCUGCUGCUUCUCCAGAUUAAAUAUUAGCC